UUUCGCAAUGCCCGAAAGGGUGACGAAGCGACGCCGCGUGGGUGAGGAAGGCCUUCGGGUUGUAAAGCCCUGUCAGGAGUUAAGAAAUGUAAGUGCGCUAAUACCGCAUUUAUUUGACGAAGGCUCCAAAGGAAGUCACGGCUAACUCUGCGCCAGCAGCCGCGGUAAUACAGAGGUGGCAAGCGUUGUUCGGAAUUAUUGGGCAUAAAGAGCACGUAGGUGGGUUUGUAAGUCAGAUGUGAAAGCCUCCUGUUCAACGGGAGAAUUGCAUCUGAAACUACAGAUCUUGAGUGUAGGAGGGGAGAAUGGAACUUCUGGUGGAGCGGUGAAAUGCGUAGAUAUCAGAAGGAACGCCGGCGGCGAAAGCGAUUCUCUGGCCUAUUACUGACACUCAGUGUGCGAAAGCUAGGGUAGCAAACGGGAUUAGAUACCCCGGUAGUCCUAGCCGUAAACGAUGGGCACUAAGUAGAGGGGUUUUA
rnacentral:rRNA from 1 species